UCACUGGUCUUCUCCUCUCCUGACAUUUUUUGCUUUUUACCCUUCCUCACACAUUAAUAUUCAUGUAAUGUCAAUGUUUGAAGUAAGACUUAUUUGUACUUUAAGCAAUGCAUUAGUGUAUGAUUAAAGCAUUCAUACUUUAAAAGCAGCAU